CCUACGGGAGGCUGCAGUGGGGAAUAUUGCACAAUGGGGGAAACCCUGAUGCAGCGACGCCGCGUGAGUGAAGAAGUAUUUCGGUAUGUAAAGCUCUAUCAGCAGGAACGAGAGAAGACGGUACCUGACUAAGAAGCCCCGGCUAACUACGUGCCAGCAGCCGCGGUAAUACGGAGGGUGCGAGCGUUGUCCGGAGUCAUUGGGUGUAAAGGGUGCGCAGGCGGUACGGUAAGCGGGCGGUGAAAUCUCGGGGCUCAACCCGGCGCCGCCGUCGGAACUGGGGGCCUUGAGUGCGGCAGAGGCAUGCGGAAUGCGCGGUGUAGCGGUGAAAUGCGUAGAUAUCGGGAAGAACCCCGAUGGCGAAGGCAGCGUGCCGUGCCGCCACUGACGCUGAGGCACGAAAGCGCGGGGAUCGAACAGGAUUAGAUACCCGAGUAGUC
rnacentral:rRNA from 1 species